CUCUCUUAUCUUUCUUCUUCUUCUCUCCCUUCUCUUUCUUUCAUUUCUUCUCCCUCUUUUCCCUCCUCCCCUUCUCUUUCUUUUCUUUCUUCUCCCUCUUUUCCCUCCAAACCACUAGGCAAGAACCCAACACCGGAAUAUGGACUGAGAGGGUGAGGGCUGACAGAAACCGCGUCAGUGCAACGGGAGGGGGCUGGCAGGGUGAGGGUUGCAGUUGGGUGCCGGAAAAGUGGUGCAAACCACCAGCGGCGGUGCCCACUGCAGCCAGUUGAGAGAAAAUUCUCUCCAAAAGCGGUGAUGGCUGUAUUUGGUGGUUUUGCUGGAGAGUUUGGAGCUGGUAGAGGUCCAGGCACUGGAAUCGCACCCAGCCGAGACAAGAACAAUUUCAUUUUUCUUUUUCAUAGGUUUUAGCAAUGGGUUUUAUGGGUUUGAUUUUUGAUUUUUUUUCCUUCUCUUGUGCUUAUUAUGACUAUGAUUGUUUAGUUGAGAUGUAAAAUGAAUUUGAUUAUGGAGUUGAGAUGGAGGAUGAAUUUUGAAUGUGGUGUUAAGAUGGGGGAUGAAUUUCAAUUGUGUUUAAAUUUAUGGGAGGUGAUUUUUUC